GGGAAACGGCCUGCCAGUAUCGCGAGAGUAGGACCUGUGGCUUAGAGAGUGGUGGAGGCUACCUGGGCUCUAUGCCCUCAAGGUAUUUCCCACGUGGGCCAAGGCUCCAUGGAAUCACCCAGGCUAGAGCCUUCCAGGUUCUAAACUGUACCUAAGAGAUGGGGACAACCUUUCUUCUCAGAUGACAUUCUCUGUCAACAAAGAGGAACAUCCUGGAGGAAGAGUUCUCAGGGAUUUUGCUAACAUCAUGGUCAAAAAGAGAAGGAAGUUUUGUUGAACUUCACCUUUGAGAAGAAAGCUAGAAGAUGGAGGCGCAAGAUUGUUUCAGUUACUCUGAAAUGAACUGCAGAUGGGAGAAAUAUAAAAUAUUGCCACAGCUCUGGGACUGGUAACACCAAGUUCGCUAUUUUGGCUUCUCAGAGGUAGUUAGCAGUCAAACAAUUUGUGUGUUUCGGUCAUCAAAUACAAUCAUGGGUAGGGACAGCAA